CCCCAAAAUCCUCUCUGCGAUACGUCAUCGCUGCGGUUAUUACACAACGCCUUCUCUCGCUGAAGUACUUUAAACCGAAGGCCUUCUUCAUACACGCGGCAUGGCUGCAUCAGGCUUGCGCCCAUUGUGCAAUAUUCCCCACUGCUGCCUCCCGUAGGGGGGCGGGGGCGGCGGGCCGGGCGCGGGGCGCGGC
rnacentral:rRNA from 1 species